rnacentral:tRNA from 1 species
AUAGGGAGACCUAACCGUGAAGCGAAGACCAAAAAAGAGUCUCGCCAUCACAGGUCAAACCAAGGUCGGUUCAAAAAGCAGCAAAGAUCGAAAAUAGAGAUCGAGCAAAUGUGAGUUAAAGAAAACUGUCAAACUAAUUGUUCUGGUUCAGAAGAAAUCUACUUGAGAAAAAAAGUAGCAAAACAAGGGCUAUUAGCUCAGGUGGUUAGAGCGCACCCCUGAUAAGGGUGAGGUCCCUGGUUCAAGUCCAGGAUGGCCCACCAUAAACAAGUAAGAAGUAGAAAGUAGCAAGUAACAAGUAAGAAACUAGUGAAAGUUAUAAUCGAGUUCUGAAGCAAAGGGGGUAUAGCUCAGCUGGUAGAGCGCCUGCUUUGCAAGCAGGAUGUCAGCGGUUCAAAUCCGCUUACCUCCACCAAAAAGUUAUUUACCCAGACAAAAUCUAAAGCCCGCAUUUCGGCAAAAUAGAGGCAGUAAAAUCCAGCACUAUCAUCAUUGAUUGGCGAAAAAAAGAUGAUUCUGCUGGACUUUAAAAAGUCCAGAAUGAACCUUGAAAACUGCAUAAUAUCUAGAAACAGCAAGCUCGUUCAAGUAGCGAAAGCUAAGUGAAAGAACUUGUUGGUGAUAGAGCCAAAUUAUAGAACUAAGUAAUUAGGUCAAAAAAACUAAGGCAGUGAGCAUGACCGGCCUCGUCAGAGGCCAAGGAAAAUGCUCAUGAAAAAUUAGUCCAAAAGUAAAGAUUAGAGAGUAUCCUGCACAAAUGUAGGAUACCA